rnacentral:misc_RNA from 1 species
UGCUAUGUCCUUUUCUCUAUCUGACGUGAGUCGCCUCUAGGUCUUGACUCAGUCCCUUAUAUCUUCCAGGUCUUUUUCAACUCCACUUGGAUUCUAAUUCUUCAAAUUCCUUCUUCUUUUCUUCUUUCUUUUUUUGUCAAGUCCUCUAUCAAGGCUUGAAAUCAAGGUUUAAUAUUGGAGGUUUAACUUUCUAUGGUGGAGUUAGGGAUUUAAUCAAGCUCAAAAUGAGCUUUAAU